GAUGAACGCUGGCGGCGUGCCUAAUACAUGCCAGUCGAGCGAACAGACGAGGAGCUUGCUCCUCUGACGUCAGCGGCGGACGGGUGAGUAACACGUGGAUAACCUACCUAUAAGACUGGGAUAACUUCGGGAAACCGGAGCUAAUACCGGAUAAUAUAUUGAACCGCAUGGUUCAAUAGUGAAAGACGGUUUUGCUGUCACUUAUAGAUGGAUCCGCGCCGCAUUAGCUAGUUGGUAAGGUAACGGCUUACCAAGGCGACGAUGCGUAGCCGACCUGAGAGGGUGAUCGGCCACACUGGAACUGAGACACGGUCCAGACUCCUACGGGAGGCAGCAGUAGGGAAUCUUCCGCAAUGGGCGAAAGCCUGACGGAGCAACGCCGCGUGAGUGAUGAAGGUCUUCGGAUCGUAAAACUCUGUUAUUAGGGAAGAACAAAUGUGUAAGUAACUAUGCACGUCUUGACGGUACCUAAUCAGAAAGCCACGGCUAACUACGUG
rnacentral:rRNA from 1 species